GGGUUUUUUUAUUGAAAGGAAAAAAUUGAAGUAGAAACUUCAACAGUAAUACAAAGGUUGCAGUCCACAGACUGAAAACACCAUAAGAUAUCAGUUCACAGUGAAGAAACCCCCAGGCAUCAAG